rnacentral:rRNA from 1 species
ACAUACGACCACAGGGUGUGGAAAACAGGGCUUCCCGUCCGCUCAGCCGUACUUAAGCCACACGCCGGGAGGUUAGUAGUUGGGUGGGUGA